rnacentral:rRNA from 1 species
AGUCGCAAGCUCGCGAGAGUAAGCUAAUCUCUUAAAGCCGUCUCAGUUCGGACUGUAGGCUGCAACUCGCCUACACGAAGUCGGAAUCGCUAGUAAUCGCGGAUCAGCAUGCCGCGGUGAAUACGUUCCCGGGCCUUGUACACACCGCCCGUCACACCAUGGGAGUUUGUAACGCCCAAAGUCGGUGGCCUAACCUUUAUGGAGGGAGCCGCCUAAGGCGGGACAGAUGACUGGGGUGAAGUCGUAACAAGGUACC